rnacentral:rRNA from 1 species
GUCGAGCGGAAACGAUGAUAGCUUGCUAUCAGGUGUCGAGCGGCGGACGGGUGAGUAAUACUUAGGAAUCUACCUAGUAGUGGGGGAUAGCUCGGGGAAACUCGAAUUAAUACCGCAUACGACCUACGGGAGAAAGGGGGCAACUUGUUGCUCUCGCUAUUAGAUGAGCCUAAGUCGGAUUAGCUAGAUGGUGGGGUAAAGGCCUACCAUGGCGACGAUCUGUAGCUGGUCUGAGAGGAUGAUCAGCCACACCGGGACUGAGACACGGCCCGGACUCCUACGGGAGGCAGCAGUGGGGAAUAUUGGACAAUGGGGGCAACCCUGAUCCAGCCAUGCCGCGUGUGUGAAGAAGGCCUUUUGGUUGUAAAGCACUUUAAGCAGUGAAGAAGACUCCGUGGUUAAUACCCACGGACGAUGACAUUAGCUGCAGAAUAAGCACCGGCUAACUCUGUGCCAGCAGCCGCGGUAAUACAGAGGGUGCAAGCGUUAAUCGGAAUUACUGGGCGUAAAGCGAGCG